rnacentral:rRNA from 1 species
AAACCAACAGGGAUUCCCCUAGUAACGGCGAGUGAAGAGGGAAAAGCCCAAAUUUGUAAUCUGGCUCUUUCAGAGUCCGAGUUGUAAUUUUAAGAACUGUUUUCCGUGCUGGACCAUGUACAAGUCUGUUGAAAAGCAGCAUCAUUGAGGGUGAAAAUCCCGUACAUGAUAUGGACUACCAGUGCAAUGUGAUACAGUCUCUAAGAGUCGAGUUGUUUGGGAAUGCAGCUCAAAGUGGGUGGUAAAUUCCAUCUAAGGCUAAAUAUAGGUGAGAGACCGAUAGCAAACAAGUACCGUGAGGGAAAGAUGAAAAGAACUUUGGAAAGAGAGUUAAACAGUACGUGAAAUUGUUAAAAGGGAAACAUUUGAAGUUAGACUUGUUAUUGUUGGUUCAACUUCUUUAUUGAGGUGUAUUCCAAUGGUUAACAGACCAGCAUCAAUUUUUGGGUGUUGGAUAAGGGUUUAGGAAAUGUGGCAACCUUGGUUGUGUUAUAGUCCUUUACUUUGAUACAAUGCUUAGGAUUGAGGAACGCAGUAAGCUUUGUAGCAGAUUUCUUUGGAGGUCUUCUUACUA